GGCGGAGAAACCUAGGGUUCCGAUCCCGUCAGGGAUGCCUGGUCCGAGAGGUUUCGGUCGGUUCUGCCGGCUGCACGGAGGGACAAAAGCCCGGGAGAC
rfam:Synechococcus sp. WH 8102 complete genome.